UGGUGCCAGGAACAACCUCAGCUUCCAGGCCAGCCGUCGAUUGAGGGGUCUCCGAUGGGCAGAAGGGCAUAACGCUUAUUGUUUCUUUCCUCUCUUUUUCAUUCUUUUUAUUUAUUUAAUAGAUGUUCCUUUUUUUUUGUCUUUUAUUAUUACUCAAUAAAUGUUCAUAUUUAAGCUAGUUGCUGUUGAUGACCCCUCUCUUAACUACGUUUAACCGAAUCCGAAAAUAACUGCUUGGAUACACUCUGAUCCAAGACAUUUUUGGUGACAAGGAUGCAAUUCAGGAAAACAUAAAUUGAAGACACUGAUGGCUGAACCCGUUUGCAGAAUUUCAGCUUCACAAUACAGUGAUGGAUGAGGCACCAUUAAUCCAUCAAGCCAUUUUUCAAUAACACGUUUCAGUGUUGGAGAAGUACUGUGAAAAUAUUAAUUGUAGUGAAUGUCAGGAAUCUCAAAACCACUGAGUCUCGGUACACUUAAACGUAUCAUGACAAAAACUAUAUUAAAACUCACUUGCCCUGGUAUUGUAAAAUAUUUAAAUGGAAUAGUUACCCGAAAAUUAAAAGGGAUUCUGGGAAAUGAUAAAGUGCAUGCAUGCAGUCUUAAUGGUUUUAAUACUUGAAAAUGGUGAGUAACUUUAAGGGAAUAAACAGAAUAUUGAAUAUGGUCAAAUUUACAUAGAUAUAUAUCAAAUAUCUAGAAUGAGUCAUGAAGUUAGUUUUUAAAAAAAAUGGAUUGUCUUGGAGCAAGAACAAACAAAGUAUGUUGUGCCUGAAUCAAACACAAAUGUUUGACUUCUUUUUUAAAAUAUUAUACAAUUAUGUUCCAUGUACUACAAAUCUCUACAGACCUCUGGAAUUUGAUAUGGUGGUAAUAGUUGAAUUGCAAAAUUAGAUGAGACAAAGUAAUUAACUGGUGGCAGAAGAUAAAAAAAAUUAGAAUAAUGUGUUGAAGCUGCAAUUCAGGUUAAAAUGUUACAGUAGUGAAAAGGAGGUUUAGAUGAAAGCACAAAACUGAGUUUUCUCUUGGUGAUGUUUGUGUCCUUGUCUUUCCUUUUAAGAGAACUGAUUUGGUGAUCAAGCCGCUACCCGAGGCAUUGGGGCCAUUCAUGGAGAGAUAAGUAAAACCUCACAGAUCAUUUGAUAAGAUCAUGUGGGAGUCAAGAAUGUGUGACAUGGCCUUGGGCUGCACUGAGUAUGUUACCAAGCACGGUAACGAAACGUCUGCGGAACAACAAACCAGCUCGGCGAGCCAACCAACCUCAAUGGCCUUGGGAUACUAAUGAGAGAGAGUUUCGUUCCAAGACUUCAUGUCGGACUGGGAUUGCGAAUGGUGCCAGAAACAACCUCAGCCUCCAGACCAGCCGUUGUUCGAGGAGUCCCUAACGAGAGAACGGC